AGAACGACUCUCGGCAACGGAUAUCUCGGCUCUCGCAUCGAUGAAGAACGCAGCGAAAUGUGAUACUUGGUAUGAAUUGCAGAAUCCCUUGAACCAUCGAGUCUUUGAACGCAAGUUGCGCCCCAAGCCUUUAGGCCGAGGGCACGCCUGCCUGGGUGUCACG
rnacentral:rRNA from 1 species